AUGCUAAUGUGUAUAUAUAUGUGUACAAUAACAGAUCCAGCUACAAGGGCCCGGGUUGCCAAGAACGCACGGAGAAGAGCAGCUUAUAAAAAGAAAAAAGAAGACGAAGGGUACCAAGAACAGAUCGAUAAGUUGAACACACGCAGACGGGAAUCUUACCAGAAGAAGAAACAACAUGACACAAGAGAACAAAGAGAAAAUAUAAAUGCACAGAGGCGAGCAGCUUAUCAGAAGAAGACACAAGACGACACAAACACUGGUCAUGUCUUAUCACAACAGCAAAGAGAUAUUAUAAAUGCAAAGAGGCGAGCCACUUACAAGGAGAAGAAGGAACAAAUAAACACGCAAAGACGUGAGACAGAUCAGAAACAUCGAGAUAGCUUGACACCAGAGCAGAAAGGGGAGAUGAGUGCUCAGCGCCGACAACGGGAGAAAGCUAUGCGGAACACCCCGUGUGCUGAAUCCAUUGCGAUGCCUCGUCCUGAUUUAGCAACCUCAGCUGCGGCAAGCACAUGCGGUCACACCUUCAAAACUUACGGUAUUUCUCGCAUGUGUACUCCACAUCUUUUGUUCGUAUGCAUUAAACAAAUAUUUACUUGCUUCGUAUCGGUGUAG
rnacentral:rRNA from 1 species